rnacentral:rRNA from 1 species
ACAGCAGUAGCCGCGGUAAUACGUAGGGUGCGAGCGUUAAUCGGAAUUACUGGGCGUAAAGCGUGCGCAGGCGGUUUUGUAAGACAGGCGUGAAAUCCCCGGGCUCAACCUGGGAAUGGCGCUUGUGACUGCAAAGCUAGAGUGCGGCAGAGGGGGAUGGAAUUCCGCGUGUAGCAGUGAAAUGCGUAGAUAUGCGGAGGAACACCGAUGGCGAAGGCAAUCCCCUGGGCCUGCACUGACGCUCAUGCACGAAAGCGUGGGGAGCAAACAGGAUUAGAGACCCCCGUAGUCCCUGUCUCUUAUAC